UGGUAUCAGAGCCUAGGUUAGAAAUGACCUAGGCAAGUUUGAAAUUUUAUUUCUUAGGACCUGUGAGGGAAGUGUUAAGGUACCGUUAAGUGUGAUUAUGCUUACGUUGUCUAAGAUAUGAACCCUUUUGCUAUUCUUGUAGGCCAUGUCUGGAGCAAAUGGAGAGGAUGGGGGUGAAUCACCUCAGAGACGCCCUCGCGUUAUCGAUUAUCAAGAAAGGCUGGGAGGUCCGAUCCGACUUUGGUAUGCCGCUAGCCGGGCUCGUCGUUGUAACCGUUGCCGGAACCACUCUUAUGUCGACCACGUGGUCGUGGCGGUGCUAGGCGAACAAAGGAGGCUUAGACAUGUUGUCGCUAGGGAUCACAUGGAGCUAAGAAGCAUCAUGAGGAUGCAAGCAGAUCGGAUAGGGGAGCUCCGAGAGGACAUAGCUAUGGAGCAAGAACGAACUAAUGCUCUUAGGGAGCAGUUGCAAGGGUCAACCAUCAUCUUACUAAUGUCGUCCGGGAAGUUAGAGACCGUUCCGGCGACAUUAUUAAUGAGUACGAGGCACUAAUCCAAGGUGUGAUUGGCGCCAACGCGCAAGUGGAGGCUCCGAGUGACGACACACCUGGAGAAAGGAGUACCCCUAGUUCUAGCCAAGGGGGAGAGUCUGUGGCCUCCGUAGGGAACUAGGCUAGAACUCUUUUGAACUACUUUUGAUUCCAUGGGGACGGUAUAUCAGGGAAAGAACCCUUAACUAGCCAUUUUUGUACGUUUGGACUAGCUUUGUAUAUAUAACUUUUGAUGAUGCCGUUAUCUCAUGGAAUUUCUUAGUUUGUAUUUGACUGACUGUUAAUGUGUGACUUGUUUGAUACUGUUGUGUGCUAUUUAUAUAUGUUUUGAUUGUGAAGAUCUUUUGGCUUCUUACUUAUGUUUACCUUUAUCUUUAAUGUUAUAUUUACGUUUUACCCUAGAUCGACUAAAUUUCAUGGAAGGCACCCGUAGUGGACGUGGUUGUCGCGGUCACAGAAUUAGGCAAACCACGAUUGAAGGGGGUACUAGGGGAACUGUAUCUGAACCAAACCUUGAGCCUAGGGUUGAUCUGAAUGUGCAAGUGGCCGCAGCCAUUCAAUGAAUGACCGACUUGUUGGCUCAUGUGGUGGAGCAACAGGGUCAAAACCCUAAUACAAACCCUGAAAACCCUGGUAAUCAUGUGGAAAGUGAGGAUAGGGCUCUCGAGAGGUUUCAGAAGUUUGCCCCACCGAAGUUUAUUGGGGGCUCCAUCCGGAUGUGGCCGAGAGAUGGCUAGAAAAGAUGGUAGACAUUUUUGCUGCCUUGCACUACACGGAGGAAAGGCAUGUGACUUUUACUGUCUUCCGACUGGAAGGGGCGGCCCGUUCCUGGUGGAACGUAAUACGACAGAAAUGGGACCGAGAGCAAAUGCCCAGGAUAUGGGCAAACUUCAUGAGGGAGUUCAACGCUAAAUUCUUUCCUCCUCUGGUUCAAGAACGGAAGGAAGACGAAUUUAUCCGGUUUCGUCAGGGGACCCAGACUGUGGCCAAAUACGAGAGCCAAUUCACUCGGCUGUCUAAAUUUGCGCCCGAACUCAUCAUGACCGAACAACGAAGAAUACGGUGAUUUGUCCAGGGUCUGAACGUGGAGAUCCAGAAGGAUCUAGCUGUAACCCAGAUUAACGCCUUUAGCGAUACAUUGGAGAAGGAACAACGAGUGGAAAAUGCCAGGCUACAAGUGAGAAACUUCCAAGAGAAGAAGCGGGGAUUUUCUGGAAGCAGUUCGAGACAGGGGGAUAAGAGUACCCCUCCCAAGUUUUGAUGGAGAACUGGAGGCGGAAGGAUGCCGAAAAUGUCACAAGGGGCCCCGUCACGAGGUGGCCAAGUUGGGAGAGGUCAAAGAGGAGGUUUCCAACGAGGUUCGGGUUCUGCAUCCCGUGGACCCUGCGGGUAUUGCGGAAAGCCAAACCACGCAGAGAACAAUUGUUGGAAGAAGGAGGGAAAAUGUUUGCGCUGCGGAAGUGCAGAUCACCAACUCGCCACUUGUCCGGUUCUAUCACGAGAUGGAAAGGGAAGCCAACAAUCGACGAGAACCAAUUCCGAAUAGGCUAAGGUGGAAGGGACCAAACCUAAGGUAGCGGCUUGAGUGUAUUCACUGGAGCCACAACAGGUCCCCGAUUCUUCUGAAGUUGUGGAAGGUACGAUUCCUGUAUUCCACCGAUUUACGAAAGUCUUAGUAGAUCCUGGUGCUACCCAUUAAUUUGUCAACCCAGUUUUAUGUGCAGAAUAGAUAUAACACCUGCUAGUUUACCCUAUGAUCUGGAAGUUAGUACUCCUACAGGGGAUCAUCGUUUGGUCACUAGUAUGGUUUAUAAGGAUAGUGAAGUUUGGGUAGGAGAGAGGAAAUUGUUAAGGAUUUGAUAAGCCUGUCCAUUAAGGGGUAUGAUGUAAUCUUCAACAUGGACUGGUUAGCCAGGUAUAAUGUUCAACUUGAUUGUAAGAGGAAGGUGGUAGAAUUCUGCAUUCCUGGAGAGGCGACCUUAAGAUUAGAUAUAAGGGGUAGGUUAGUCUUAUCUGCGUUGAUCUCGAGUAUUCGGGUUAGAAAAUUACUAAAUAGAGGGGCGCAAGGUUCUUAACCUUUCUAAUCAAUACCCCCACCGAUAAAUUGAAGGUAGAGGAUGUGCACGUGGUGAAGGAAUAUCUGAAUGUAUUUUCGGAUGAGUUAGUAACCCUACCUCUGGAGAGAGAGAUAGAAUUCAAAAUUGAUCUAUUAUCGAGAACGUCACCUAUCUCUAAAACUCCGUACCGGAUAGCCCCUGCGGAACUUAGGGAGUUAAAGUUGCAGUUACAGGACCUUUCGGAAUGGGGGUUCAUUCAAGAGAGUGGGUCUCCUUGGGAAGCCUCCGUGUUGUUUGUGAAGAAAAAGGACAGGAGUUUGCAGAUGUUUAUAGACUAUCGGGGGCUGAAUAAUGUAACGGUUAAAAAUAAGUAUCCACUGCCCCAUAUUGAUGAGCUGUUCAACCAGUUGCAAGGAGCAGUGAUCUUUUCGAAAUUAGACCUCCGACAAGGAUACUAUCAAUUGCUGAUUAGGAAGGAGGACAUACCAAAAACUGCUUUCAAUUCGAGAUAUGGACAUUAUGAGUUCGCAGUUAUGCCCUUUGGACUGACCAAUGCCCCUGCUGCAUUCAUGAAUUUAAUGCACAGUGUUUUUAAGCCCUAUUUGGAUCAAUUUGUAGUUGUCUUUAUUGAUGACAUUCUGGUUUACUCAAAGACUAGUGAGGAGUAUGAGCAGCAUUUAAGAAUUGUUUUGUAAACCCUAAGAGAGCAUCAGUUGUAUGCCGAGUUUAGUAAGUGUGAGUUCUGGUUGGAGAAAAUUUAUUUCUUAGGGCAUGUAAUUUCCCAAGAGGGCAUCUCGGUUGACCCGGCGAAAGUAGAGGCCGUGACUAAUUGCCAGAAAACCCCGCGGAGAUUCGUAGUUUUCUAGGGUUGGUUAGGUACUAUAAGCGUUUCAUUAAAUACUUUUCCAAACUGGUCGGUCCUUUAACCGACCUAACGAAGAAAAAUGGUCGUUUCAUGUGGGAUGCUAGAUGUGAAGCAAGUUUUCGAGAGAUAAAGAAAAGAUUAACCAUGGCACCAAUUCUAACUUUGCCUAACGGAAUAGACAAUUUUACUGUUUAUACUAAUGCUUCGCGGAAGGUCUGGGUUGUGUGCUGAUGCAAAACCAGAAUGUGAUAUCUUUUGCCUCUAGGAAAUUGAAACCCUACAAGCAGAAUUACCCAACCCACGAUCUGGAGUUAGCUGCCAGUUGUUUUCGCUCUGAAAAAGUGGAGACACUAUCUAUACGGGGUAACUUUCGAGGUUUACUCAGACCAUAAAAGUCUUCGAUACCUAUUCUCGCAAAAGGAGUUGAAUAUGAGGCAGCGAAGGUGGAUGGAGUUUCUGGAGGACUACGACUGCACCAUUAACUACCAUUCGGGAAAAGCGAAUGUGGUGGGCGAUGCCUUAAGUGGAAAAGCACAAGUAGCGGGGUUAAUAAUUAAGGAGCGGGAUCUAUUAGAAUCAAUUUGUGAGUGGAAACCCUGUCUUGGAAGUCAUAAGGUGAUUUUUGGUAAUAUGAAGGUAACGUCCACACUACUGGAGCGAAUUAAGGAAGUUCAAAAGGAAGAUUCUAUGGUACGGAAGUGGGGAGAGAAAGUGGAAAAAGGAGAAUUGUCGGAUUUUAACUUCAGUUCCAAUGGAGUUUUGAAAUACCGAAAUCGAGUGGUGGUGCCUAAAGAUGAAAUGUUAAAGAAGGAGAUCUUAGAGGAAUCUCAUCAGUCCAAGUAUACGAUCCAUCCGGGUAGUAGCAAGAUGUAUCAGGACUUAAAAGAAACCUAUUGGUGGGACAACAUGAAAAAGAAAAUUGCUCAAUACGUGCAAACAUGUCUCAUCUGUCAACAAGUUAAGGAGGAACAUCAAAAACCAUCUGGUUUGUUACAACCUCUUGAGAUACCAGAAUGGAAGUGGAAAAACAUUACAAUGGACUUCGUUUCAAGUUUGCUGCGAACGCAACGAGAACAUGAUGCCGUUUGGGUAAUCGUCGAUCGGUUAACCAAAUCGGCCCAUUUCUUGCCGGUAAACAUGAAGUAUUCCAUGGAUAAAUUGACUCAGGUGUCUAUGGAUGAGAUUGUAAGACUACAUGGGGUUCCUGUGAGCAUCGUUUCGGAUAGAGAUCCCCACUUUGUGUCUGGGUUUUGACUGAAAUUUCAAGAGACUUUAGGGACUAAACUCAACCUAAGUACCACUUAUCAUCCCCAGACGGAUGGACAGUCAGAGCGAACAAUUCAAACUCUCGAUGAUAUGUUAAGGACUUGUAUUCUAGAUUUUGGGGGUAACUAGGGUCAACAUAUGACCUUAGUAGAGUUUACUUACAAUAACAGUUACCAUUCGUCAAUUCAAAUGGCCCCAUACGAAGCGCUUUACGAGAGGAAGUGCCGGUCACCGAUCUAUUGGGAUGAAGUCGGUGAGAGGAAGGUCCUAGAUCCAACGGCUAUUCCAUGGAUGGAGGAGGCAUGAGAAAAAGUCAAGUUGAUACGACAAAGACUCCAAACAGCUCAAAGCCGACAAAAGAACUACGCAGACAAUCGAAAAAAAGAUCUGGAGUUCAAAGUUGGGGACCGUGUUUUUCUUAAGGUCACACCGUUACAAAGCGUCAUGGCGGGUAGAGGAAAGAAACUUCAACCAAGGUUCAUCGGACCUUUUAAAAUUCUCUAGAGAAUUGGGAAAGUAGCGUAUCGACUUGAACUACCAUCAAGUCUGUCCAGGAUUCACGAUGUCUUUCACGUCGCGAUGAUUAAGAAGUAUUAUCCCGACCCGUCUCACAUCUUACAAUCGGAGGAAAUUGAGAUAGAUGAAUCACUCACCUACGAAGAGAAACCUGUACAGUUGCUUGACCGAAAGGUUAAGGAGUUGAGAAACAAAUAAAUACCUUUGAUGAAGAUCUUGUGAAAAAAUCAUGGGAUAGAAGAGACUACCUGGGAGGUGGAAGAAGAAAUGCAAAAGAAAUACCCUGAACUAUUUGUGAAUCAAGGUGAGAAAUUUCGAGAAUGAAAUUCUUUUUAAGGUGGAGAGAGUGUGAGAACCCGAAAUUUUUUUUAUUUUCUAGGCUUUAUUUUAUUUAAUUGCACGCCUUUUCUAUAUUUUUUUAUUAGGAAAAUUUUCUAAAUAAUUUUUAUGAGUAAAUAUAGUUUUAAAAUCAUUUUUCUAAUACAAGUUAGUUCUUGAGAUUUUAGGAGUGUAUAUUGAACGUGGGACCCGCUAGUGCGGUAAGUGCGAUAAAAUUCGGCCAAUUAGAUUAAAUUUUGUAUACAGGGAUUAAUUUAUUAGGUGUUAAGAGGUAAUUAGAGGUUACCUAAAUGGAUUGAUGUUGGAGAGACAAAAGGAUAGCUUUAAACCUAAAAGGUGACAAGUGUCACUUUCUUACUCAAGGUUGGAUUUUGACCAUCUUACUUACCUUUACCAAAUAACCAAAAAUUGACCCAAAAUCAUCUUCAUUUCAAGCAUCUUGGCCGAAACUCUUAGAGAGAAAAGAGUGGAAAAGCCUUCAACUUUCUUCAUCCCAAUCUUGCUCAAUCUUAUAAUCUAACCGAUAAAACUCCAAUUUUCUCCAUAAAAAUCAUUUGUAAGGUAGGAUUAAGAUAGUUGGUGGAGUGGUUUGGAAAGAGGAGGUGCUAAGUUGCUUCUUUUCUUGAGUUUACAAGGCGAGUGGCCAAGAAAUUCUUCCUUUGUUCUUGAUAAUGUUAAAUUAGUGACUUGUGUUAGUGAAAGAGGUGGUUUUGUGGAAGAUUUCAUGACUUUUGGUAGAGAUUGAUGAAUUUCUGAUUUUAUUCAUGAUUUUUCUGAUUUUAUAUGAUUAGUGUUGGUUGGCCAUGGAUGAUGGUUUGGUACGGUCUCAAGUGAAGCUUUGGUGUGCAAAUUGUAGUUAUUUGUAGAAAAUUUCCGCUUUGUACGGAAAAUUUCAGAUUUAGGGUUUUGAAUUGGGGCUUUUCUAGGGUUAUUGUGGAACUCUUGAAUUGGCUUGGUUUAAAGGCUAUUGUAACCCUAAUAAGAUGUAUUGAAUGGCAUAGGACUUGUACUUGUAGUUGUGGUUAUGUUGGUUAAAUAUGAAUGAUUAUUUAUAGGAUGGAAAUCUGAAAUUUUAAGAGGAAAUGCUGUCCAAAUUUUAUGUCCAUAUGCUUUCUUGGAAUUGGGUUGCUUUAAGUGUUAAUGAGGGACCUUGGGGUUGUCUAAACCUUUAGCACCAAGUGUUCCUUAUAUUAUUUUCAAGCUCUUAUGGAUUUACAUUAGUGAUGUGUGGUUUGGGUUUAUGACUCGUAUUCGAGUCUCAUUGUGUUUUCUUGAAUGUUUUAGGGCGUGCCGGUGAUUCAAGGCGCUCGUUGGGUAGAAAUUUGUGAAAUCUCUCUUUGUUUGAUUGGUGAGUGUACUACUCACAUGAUUGUUACUUCAUGGCUUUGUUAUACUUGAAAUCUAUUAUUUGAAUGCUUGUGUAUACUGCUAAGAUUGGUUGAGACGAGGGUGUACUUUAUCACUCUUGUACUCUAUGGCUUAUGUGACUGUUUACUGUAUCAAUUGAAUUUCUCUUGAUUAUACUUGAAUUGGUGUCAUUUGGAUGUGUAUCCAAAGACUUUUACUGUUGAUUCUGAGCUCAACCCCGUUGGUGGUCGAUUGACUCGAGCCAGCAAGGGCUUGGUCGAGAAGAUUGACAAGCCAUGGGGACUGUUUCUAUGGAAUCAUUGGGUAUGAGACUCUUAAUUCCGGUAUACUCGAGUAUUACCAUUGUGAACUGGUUGGAAUUCGAGCCCGGUAGAGGUAUGUGAGGUGGACGAAAAUUGGAGAAAGUGGAGUUUACGGUAUUGGUUAUUCCUUAAGCGUUGACGGAAGGUCAACGGGGUGAGAUCAAGUACGGAAAACGAGGAAAAGGGCUCUUGAGAGCCGUCCGUAUCCUUUUAAAAAUCUUUAUUGAAAUGUGGUAUUAGUUGACUCACUUAUUGAAUGUAUUUGGAUUGAGUAGGUUUGUGUUUAUAUGAACUUCGUUACUUGGGUGAUAGUACCUUAUUGGGCGAAAGCUCACUCUAUUGCCUUUGUUUUCCUUACAGGGAUAAGAAUAACUUUUGGGGAAAUGUGAUUUUGAAGCCCAAUUGAGCUAGUUUAAUAUUCUUUUGUAUAGCUCCUCGAUGGUUGGAAAACCUUAAGUGUAUUUUGAUUCAACAUUUCCUUUUGAAUUGUAAAUUUGAAACCAUAUGUGUAUAAACGUGUUUGGUAUUGUUCAUGUGUUAUUUUGGAUUGUAAAUGUCCAAUUUCAAGGUUUAUAUGAUUUGUUGGUGAUUGAUUGGGUUUCAUACAGGUUCGGACUUCGAACGACAAAAGGAAAAAAAAAUUUGGUGGGAAAGGCACAGGGGAAUCCGCCCGGAAAUCCGGCCAGAACUUGGCCGGAUUGUCCUGGAUUUUUUUGAAUCCGGGCAGUUAGUCACUGCCUCCAAUUUAGCCAAGAAUCCGGCCAGAUUGUGACGUGGCCGGCACUAUUAAUGUGUUGCUCCAUUUUUCCAUUUUCCGUUUCGUGAUUUUUGAUUCGUUUGAGCGUGCUAAUGUCUUUUGGAACAUUUUAGAUUGUAUAUAACCAUCUUAGUAGUACUGGCGAGAGUUGGGCAGGCAGUCUGCUAACCCCUUUGGUACGCCUUAGGGGAAAGUGGGGCUAUCACAAAGAACUCCAUCACCGGACGUCCAAAGGAAUUAAAACAUUUCCUCUAAGCUCACUGAUCUCGAUCAGAUGCAAAACAUUAGAGCACCGAACGUCCGAUAAACUGCGCAACACUUCAGACGCAGAGCACUGGGGGUACCAGAUGGCCGAAAGAAUUGAAGAAGAUUUCUCAAACUUUACCAUCUUCUUUCGAACACAAGCUUUGAAGGAAUUAAAGAAAAUCUCUUUUGCUCACUGCUUUCUAUCAGAUGCAAGAAACAAGACUACCGGACGUCCGACACUACCAACAGCUAGUUGACUCUUCAACUGCCUUCUAUCCAUUGGAAGCAUUAAUAGAGGAACUUUUUGGUUUCAUAUAAGUAGAGCAAAGUCAACCACUUCAAAAUGCUUUUACACAUUGAGACUACAAAAGAUUUAGAGCACUUUUAGUAAAAAAAUUCUCUUCAAAGAAGAUUUGUAUUCUUAGUUAUGUGUAGAUUUCAUAUAAGUUUUUCUUGUGUGAAGAAAUUACUUCAAUAGUGUAGCUUUGAGAAGGUUAUUUGAGUAAUAGUAAAACUUCCUAACUUGACCAAGUGUGGCUUGGGACAAGGAGGAAGUGAUCAUUCCUUUGUAUGUGACGGCCCCACCUCCCCCUAGGGCGUACCCCAGGGUUCGGCAGGCCGCCUGCCCAACUCUCGCCGGGACUCAGUCGUUCACUACAAUCCUCAAAUGAAUUACAAUAUAAAUCUCAAAUAUUACAUCAAAUGUUCCCACAAUUACACAUCCAAGUCUCCAAUAAUUACAUGUCAUAAGCGAAGCGAAAACAAUUUCCAACUAUACAUAAAAUGAUUCCAAAUCCAAACUGUACAACAUAUAUGCCAUCCAGUCACGUGAACAAGUACUACAAGUCCUUCCUUCGCCACGAGCCCUGUGGAGGGGAAUAAAAUAGUUUUUGGGGUGAGCUAAAAGCUCAGCGAGUAACCAGAAAAUCAUUAAUCAAAUCGGUUUCACAAUAGUUCAUUUCAAUGAUGUCAUAUAGCAAUGAUGUCAUAAAUUAAAUGAUAAAUCCGGAAACAACUACAUCAUUUGCAAAACAGUAAAUAUGGAUUAUCAAUAAUUCAAGAAACAUUUACAAUGGAAAGCGAUAGUAACAUUCAUGAAAGGAUACAUUCAUUCUCCUGACAUUUCCUCGCUCAUUUGGUCAUUCAUUUCAUUUCAUUCACCCCGUCCCUGGCUUUUGGCCAAGCUCCACCAACCUACAUAGGUAAUACUCGAGUAUACCAAACGUUCACCCAAGUUCCUAAUCGCCUGACCGAGUCCGCUUCUGGCUCAAGACGACCGGUAACAAGGGGCAAUGGCCAGUUCAGCCCAAAAGGCUUACAUUCAUGCGCAAGUAACAUUUCAAUCGAAAAUUUCACAUUUAUCGAGGUCGAGUGCGAUAAAGUACACACUCGCCUCGAAAACUCGUUUUGGAAAUCAUUAUAAGCGCUUAACACGUUAUCAACCAAAAUACAAGUCAUGAAGUCAAGAAAUAUAGCAAACAAGGAACACUCAAAUGCAGCACACAUGAUAUGCAAGAAAACAUUUCAAAUGUAACUUUGGAAACAGUUCAAAAGUAAAUAAUGUAAGAAACGUUCAUAAAUAACUUUAGAAAUAGUUUGAGGUCACUCACCUCCAUGGCUCAGAAACCAUCCAUCAUAUAUCAUUGCCUUGCUCAAAUCCAAGUCUUAGAUCACCAACUCAAUGCGAACAAGUCCCUUCAAAGUUCGGACAGCACUUCCCCUAAAUUCUAACUUUCCAGCCAUCAUCGGCCUCAUUAUUUCCUCAGCCAGUCCCAAAGGUACACACACAACAACAAGUUCAUCCAAUAGACAUUCAAACAAGCUCCAUGUAGUACUAGUACAAGUCAAGCUAGGGAAAAGUCCGGAAAUGAAAGUUAAACUCAAAUCAGAAAAACAGGUUUUGACGUCAUUUUGCGGUAAUGGUACCAAAGGCACUACCGAUUAUCGGAUAAAGGUGCCAAGAUACACCGUUUCGAAGCUAAGAGAUAGGGAUUCAAUAUUACAGAAGGGCACUCAACCCAGUUUCGAGUGUAACCAGGUCAAAAAUGCAAGAUACUACAUCAAAAUCACAAAAACAGAUUCACAGAACGCAUUCUAGCGGAAAUGUCAUAACACAGGCUCUCCAAGUCAAAUCCAGAAAUUCCAAAACUGGCUGAAAGCUAAGGAACAGGGAUAAAUUUCAUCAGAAGGCCUUAACAUCCAAUUCGGAAGCAAUUCCAGCCAAAACAACCAAUUACAGUCGCACUUCUCAAUUUCGGUAAAACCAGAACAGCAGUAGUAAUUUCGACUUUUCUCAUUCCACACUACUCCGAUUGACCUGAAACUUUGCAGGCACCUCUAAAAUAUCAUUCCCUACAACUUUUAUGAAGAUCACUCAGUCCAGUUCUCACCCUAACUAGGUCAAACUUUCCAAAACAACUCCAGAUUUUCCAAUUCGAAAUUCACUGUGGAAAUCAACUAGCAGUCCUGCUUUAUUCACUCAUAUCUCAGCACACACAACUCCAAUUCUGGUAAUUCCAAAGCCAUUUGAAAGCUAAGAUACAGGGCUAGAAUUAUUAAGAAGACAUCAAUAACUAAAUCAGUAGUAUUCCCAGUCAAACUAACCAAUUACCAAAGCUGAUUUCCAGGUUCGGACAGAAACAGGGCAGCAGGGGUAUUUUGGUCUUUUCAUAGGCUACGAACUUGGAUUGAGCUGAAAUUUUGUAGACAACUAUAAAACAUUAUUCUCUUACAACUUUGAUGUUUUGUUCUCAGGCCAAUUUGGCCUCUAACUAUGAUGAACAGUGUCAGGUAGAAUUGGGGAAAUUGAAAACCCUAAUCUGGAAAUUUUUGCAUUCAAGUGCUAAACUUCCACUAAAACAUUCAUUAGCCAUCACAAGUCAUUAAUUUAACAAAAUCAAGAUCAAAUAAAGGAUGGUUAGACAUGAUACCUUGAAAUAUCAAGAAAGGUGAUGGCUUAGGGAUUUUUCUUCCAAACAACUCCACCAAUAGUUCAAUCUUCCUUAGCUAGCAAGUUUAUGGAGUGAUUUGCAAUUUAAUCGGUUAGAACUCAAGAUUGGAAGAAGAAAUUGAGGUGCAGAUGCUGGAUUUCUUCUUCUUUCUUCAAAUUUCGUCAUCAUGCUUACAAGAAGAAGAAAUGAUGAAACAAAGGUUUGGUCAAGAUAAGAAGAAGAAAUCAUGGUCUUAGUCAAGGUCCAACUUGCAAUGGGUUUGUGACACUUGUCCCUUCUAGUAUUUUCUUUAAUCCUUUGGCUUCCAAUGGUUACAUCAUAUAACCACCUCUAAUCAUUUCCUAGCACCUUGUAAAAAAUAACACUUAGCACACAAUUCACUUAGUCACCAAAAUUAUGUCACACUAGCGGGUCCCACGUCCAUAUACGCUCUUAAUUUCUCAAAACUAACCGAUACUAGAAAAAUCAUUUAAAAACUAUAUUUUACUCAUAAAAUUAUCUGGAGAAUUUUCUAAUAAAGAGAAUGUCGAAAAGGCGGGCGAUCAAUAAAACAAACCUAGAAACUUAAAAAAAUUUCGGGUCCGCGUACUCAUUCUUUCGGGGCGUCAAAAUCUCCCCUCCUUAAAAGAAUGUCGUCCUCGACAUUCCAUCUUGUACUAAUCAAGUCAAAACAUCCCGCAAGAAUCACUGAUAUUCAAACCAAACCCACAGUCCGGCAUCCUAACUUCAAGCCUAGGAUACACUACAGAGAUCUGAAGCCUAAGCUCUGAUACCAACUGUGACGGCCCCACCUCCCCUAGGGCGUACCCCAAGGUUCGGCAGGCCGCCUGCCAGCUCUCGCCGGACUCAGUCGUUCACUACAAUCUCAAAUGAAUUACAAUAUAAAUCUCAAAUAUUACAUCAAAUGUUCCCACAAUUACACAUCCAAGUCUCCAAUAAUUACAUGUCAUAAGCGAAGCGAAAACAAUUUCCAACUAUACAUAAAAUGAUUCCAAAUCCAAACUGUACAAGAUAUAUGCCAUCCAGUCACGUGAACAAGUACUACAAGUCCUUCCUUCGCCACGAGCCCUGUGGAGGGAAUAAAAUAGUUUUUGGGGUGAGCUAAAAGCUCAGCGAGUAACCAGAAAAUCAUUAAUCAAAGGGUAAAAUACAAGGAACCUCCUUGUGUUUUCGCGCGAAAAGACACCUCACCCCCUUAUCGUUUAGAAACCUACACAUAAACACCAUAAACUUCAUAACUCAAAUGGAAAUUACCUUUUGAACCGGCUUAAUUACCGGCAAGAAGGUCAAAUACCCUGGCAGGCUGUCCAAUUUCCUUCACAAAAAAGAAAAAAGUUACUGUCCAGGGAAACUAAUUUGUACAACGUCGACCAAAGAGAUAUCUGCGAUUCGACUUCACUCUCCCACCCGAUAUAAGCAUACAGAAGAGAGAGAAGGCAGAAGCGAAGAGAUCCGCAACACUCCUUCUUUCUCCAGUCUUGCAAUGGUAUCAGCAGCAUGCGACACCACCAAAGCAAAUUUGCUAUGAAUCAGAUCUGCCAUACAGAUUGACAAGAAACGAGCUUUGUCAGGAAAAUUGGUGCUGAUAAUCACGUGAAUGCAGAUGUCAAAAGAAAUGUUUGCCAAGCUUGAGAAGAUUGAAAAUAAGAGAUUACAGCUGUUACGGACUUCGAAUCUGAGGAGAAAAAAAGUGCAGUGAGGCUUGUUAAAACAGAGACCAAUGCUUCAGGUCUGUAGGAACAACAUUGAUGAAAGAGGAAUAUGGUAUCGCAAGAUUUUCCAUCCAAAUUUUUUAUUCUGAGUUUGAAUAUCCUUCAGAACACUCUGCAACAUGAGACGACCUUUAGUAGUGAAGACAUACCUUUCAUUGUUCAGAAACGGGAGAGUUGAGUUCUAGCUUUACCAUGUCUGUCAUUGAAUGGAUCUCUGGUGAAAAAUUGCUAAAAUACAUAACCAGUUCAAUUUCCAUAUAUGGCAAGCAAAUUUAGUCAAUGAAAUUCCAUCUGGAAGUUGUAAAUUUUUAAAAACCAGAAGACACACGGAUCAAACACUUUAUCCAAAACCUGUGCCCACUUAAAAGCAAAAAGACAAAAAAAAAGGAAUUAGCAGAAGUUGAAAUACUGGUCCUGCGGAUUUAUUAACUAUUUGUAUUUGUAGCCCUGGGUUAGUUCUUCACUACAUUAAUUUCGAAGAGAUCGGUUAACUUUGGCUCAGAUCUGCUUUAGCCUUUGGAAUUUGUUUGAACCUUGCCUGAGUGUAGCAGUCAAUGAAAUCCGAUGUUGUAAUUUCGAUUCUUUAAUCUGUAGUGGAUUACUCUCCAUUCAUGGGAUCGAGAAGGGUGCUGUUCUGCAGGAAGCGAGGGUCUAUAAUGAUCCUCAUUGAUCCUAAGAGAUGUUCACAGGUCCAGUUUUCAGCCUGCCUUGUUACCUGAUAUUCGACCAGCACAUCCGGUUAAAGUCAAUUUCCACUUUAGUAAUGAAGUUUAAGGUGUUUAUGUGUAUAUUUCUAAACGAUAGGGAGUAAGGUGUCUUUUCGUGAAACCACAAGGGAGUUUUUUGUAUUUUACCCUUAUCAAAUCGGUUUCACAAUAGUUCAUUUCAAUGAUGUCAUAUAGCAAUGAUGUCAUAAAUCAAAUGAUAAAUCCGGAAACAACUACAACAUUUGCAAAACAGUAAAUAUGGAUUAUCAAUAAUUCAAGAAACAUUUACAAUGGAAAGCGAUAGUAACAUUCAUGAAAGGAUACAUUCAUUCUCCUGACAUUUCCUCGCUCAUUUGGUCAUUCAUUUCAUUUCAUUCACCCCGUCCCUGGCUUUUGGCAGGCUCCACCAACCUACAUAGGUAAUACUCGAGUAUACCAAACGUUCACCCAAGUUCCUAAUCGCUUGACCGAGUCCGCUUCUGGCUCAAGACGACCGGUAACAAGGGGCAAUGGCCAGUUCAGCCCAAAAGGCUUACAUUCAUGCGCAAGUAACAUUUCAAUCGAAAAUUUCACAUUUAUCGAGGUCGAGUGCGAUAAAGUACACACUCGCCUCGAAAACUCGUUUUGGAAAUCAUUAUAAGCGCUUAACACGUUAUCAACCAAAAUACAAGUCAUGAAGUCAAGAAAUAUAGCAAACAAGGCACACUCACAUGCCAGCACGCAUGAUAUGCAAGAAAACAUUUCAAAAGUAACUUUGGAAACAGUUCAAAAGUAAAUAAUGUAAGAAACGGUUCAUAAAUAACUUUAGAAGUAGUUUGAGGUCACUCACCUCCAUGGCUCAGAAACAUCCAUCAUAUAACAUUGCCUUGUUCAAAUCCAAGUCUUAGAUCACCAACUCAAUGCGAACAAGUCCCUUCAAAGUUCGGACAGCACUUCCCCUAAAUUUGCUAACUUUUCCAGCCAUCAUGGCUUCAUUAUUUCCUCAGCCAGUCCCAAAGGUACACACACAACAACAAGUUCAUCCAAUAGACAUUCAACAAGCUCCAAGUAGUACUAGUACAAGUCAAGCUAGGAAAAGUCCGGAAAUGAAAGUUAAGCUCAAAACCAGAAAAACAGGUUUUGACGUUAUUUUGCGGUAAUGGUACCAAAGGCACUACGAUUAUCGGAUGAAGGUGCAAGAUACACCGUUUCGAAGCUAAGAGAUAGGGAUUCAAUAUUACAGAAGGUCACUCAACCCAGUUUCGAGUGCAACCAGGUCAAAAAUGCAAGAUACUACAUCAAAAUCACAAAAACAGAUUCACAGAACGCAUUCUAGCGGAAACGUCAUAACUCAGGCUCUCCAAGUCCAAAUCCAGAAAUUCCAAAACCAGCUGAAAGCUAAGGAACAGGGAUAAAUUUCAUCAGAAGGCCUUAAUAUCCAAUUCGGAAGCAAUUCCAGCCAAAACAACCAAUUACAGUCGCACUUCUCAAUUUCGGGUAAAACCAGAACAGCAGUAGUAAUUUCGAUUUCUCAUUCCACACUACUCCGAUUGACCUGAAAUUUUCAGGCACCUCUAAAAUAUCAUUCCCUACAACUUUCAUGAAGACCACUCAGUCCAGUUCUCACCCUAACUAGGUCAAACUUUCCAAAACAACUCCAGAUUUUCCAGUUCGAAAUUCACUGCGGAAAUCAACUAGCAGUCCUGCUUUAUUCACUCAUAUCUCAGCACACACAACUCCAAUUCAGGUAAUUCCAAAGCCAUUUGAAAUCUAAGAUACAGGGCUAGAAUUCUUAAGAAGACAUCAAUAACUAAAUCAGUAGUAUUCCCAGUCAAACUAACCAAUUACCAAAGCUGAUUUCCAGGUUCGGACAGAAACAGGGCAGCAGGGGUAUUUUGGUCUUUUCACAGGCUACCGAACUUGGAUUGAGCUGAAAUUUUGCAGGCAACUAUAAAACAUCAUUCUCUACAACUUUCAUGUUUUGUGCUCAGGCCAAUUCGGCCUCUAACUAUGAUGAACAGUGUCAGGCAGAAUUGGGGAAAUUGAAAACCCUAAUCUGGAAAUUUUUGCAUUCAAGUGCUAAACUUCCACUAAAACAUCUCAUUAGCCAUCACAAGUCAUUAAUUUAACAAAAUCAAGAUCAAAGAAAGGAUGGUUAGACAUGAUACCUUGAAAUAUCAAGAAAGGUGAUGGCUUAGGGAUUUUUCUUCCAAAACAACUCCACCAAUAGCUUCAAUCUUCCUUAGCUAGCAAGUUUAUGGAGUGAUUUGCAAUUUAAUCGGUUAGAACUCAAGAUUGGAAGAAGAAAUUGAGGUGCAAGAUGCUGGAUUUUCUCUCUCUUUCUCUCAAAAUUUCGUCCAUCAUGCUUACAAGAAGAAGAAAUGAUGAAAACAAAAGGUUUGGUCAAGAUAAGAAGAAGAAAUCAUGGUCUUAGUCAAAGGUCCAACUUGCAAUGGGUUUGUGACACUUGUCCCUUCUAGUAUUUUCUUUAAUCCUUUGGCUUCCAAUGGUUACAUCAUAUAACCACCCUCUAAUCAUUUUCUCGCACCUUGUAAAAUAAUAACACUUAGCACACAAUUCACUUAGUCACCAAAAUUAUGUCACACUAGCGGGUCCCACGUCCAUAUACGCUCUUAAUUUCUCAAAAACUAACCGAUACUAGAAAAAUCAUUUAAAAACUAUAUUUACUCAUAAAAAUUAUCUGGAGAAUUUUCUAAUAAAGAGAAUGUCGAAAAGGCGGGCGAUCAAUAAAACAAACCCUAGAAACUUAAAAAAAAUUUCGGGUCCGCGUACUCAUUCUUUCGGGGCGUCACAAUCUCCCCUCCUUAAAAGAAUGUCGUCCUCGACAUUCCAUCUUGUACUAAUCAAGUCAAAACAUCCCGCAAGAAUCACUGAUAUUCAAACCAAACCCACAGUCCGGCAUCCUAACUUCAAGCCUAGGAUACACUACAGAGAUCUGAAGCCUAAGCUCUGAUACCAACUGUGACGGCCCCACCUCUCCCUAGGGCGUACCCCAGGGUUCGGCGGGCCGCCUGCCCGGCUCUCGCCGGGACUCAGUCGUUCACUAAAGUCCUCAAAUGAAUUACAAGAUAAAUCAAAUAUACAUCAAUGGUCCACAAUAUACAUCCAAGUCUCCAAUAAUUAUCACAAGCAGCGGAAACUAAUCCCAAAUAUACAUAAAAUAAUUCCAAAUCCAAAAUUGUACAAAGUUUAGGCCAUCCAUUCACGUGAAUAAGCACAACAAGUCCUUCUUUCGCCACGAACCCUGUGGAGGGGAAUAAAAUAGUUUUUGGGGUGAGCUAAAAGCUCAGCGAGUAACCAGAAAAUCAUUAAUCAAAUCGGUUUCACAAUAGUUCAUUUCAAUGAUGUCAUAUAGCAAUGAUGUCAUAAAUCAAAUGAUAAAUCCGGAAACAACUACAACAUUAGCAAAACAGUAAAUAUGGAUUAUCAAUAAUUCAAGAAACAUUUACAAUGGAAAGCGAUAGUAACAUUCAUGAAAGGAUACAUUCAUUCUCCUGACAUUUCCUCGCUCAUUUGGUCAUUCAUUUCAUUUCAUUCACCCCGUCCCUGGCUUUUGGCAGGCUCCACCAACCUACAUAGGUAAUACUCGAGUAUACCAAACGUUCACCCAAGUUCCUAAUCGCUUGACCGAGUCCGCUUCUGGCUCAAGACGACCGGUAACAAGGGGCAAUGGCCAGUUCAGCCCAAAAGGCUUACAUUCAUGCGCAAGUAACAUUUCAAUCGAAAAUUUCACAUUUAUCGAGGUCGAGUGCGAUAAAGUACACACUCGCCUCGAAAACUCGUUUUGGAAAUCAUUAUAAGCGCUUAACACGUUAUCAACCAAAAUACAAGUCAUGAAGUCAAGAAAUAUAGCAAACAAGGCACACUCAAUGCCAGCACGCAUGAUAUGCAAGAAAACAUUUCAAAAGUAACUUUGGAAACAGUUCAAAAGUAAAUAAUGUAAGAAACGGUUCAUAAAUAACUUUAGAAGUAGUUUGAGGUCACUCACCUCCAUGGCUCAGAAAUCAUCCAUCAUAUAACAUUGCCUUGUUCAAAUCCAAGUCUUAGAUCACCAACUCAAUGCGAACAAGUCCCUUCAAAGUUCGGACAGCACUUCCCCUAAAUUUGCUAACUUUUCCAGCCAUCAUGGCUUCAUUAUUUCCUCAGCCAGUCCCAAAGGUACACACACAACAACAAGUUCAUCCAAUAGACAUUCAACAAGCUCCAAGUAGUACUAGUACAAGUCAAGCUAGGAAAAGUCCGGAAAUGAAAGUUAAGCUCAAAACCAGAAAAACAGGUUUUGACGUUAUUUUGCGGUAAUGGUACCAAAGGCACUACGAUUAUCGGAUGAAGGUGCAAGAUACACCGUUUCGAAGCUAAGAGAUAGGGAUUCAAUAUUACAGAAGGUCACUCAACCCAGUUUCGAGUGCAACCAGGUCAAAAAUGCAAGAUACUACAUCAAAAUCACAAAAACAGAUUCACAGAACGCAUUCUAGCGGAAACGUCAUAACUCAGGCUCUCCAAGUCCAAAUCCAGAAAUUCCAAAACCAGCUGAAAGCUAAGGAACAGGGAUAAAUUUCAUCAGAAGGCCUUAAUAUCCAAUUCGGAAGCAAUUCCAGCCAAAACAACCAAUUACAGUCGCACUUCUCAAUUUCGGGUAAAACCAGAACAGCAGUAGUAAUUCGACUUUCUCAUUCACACUACUCCGAUUGACCUGAAAUUUUCAGGCACCUCUAAAAUAUCAUUCCCUACAACUUUCAUGAAGACCACUCAGUCCAGUUCUCACCCUAACUAGGUCAAACUUUCCAAAACAACUCCAGAUUUUCCAGUUCGAAAUUCACUGCGGAAAUCAACUAGCAGUCCUGCUUUAUUCACUCAUAUCUCAGCACACACAACUCCAAUUCAGGUAAUUCCAAAGCCAUUUGAAAUCUAAGAUACAGGGCUAGAAUUCUUAAGAAGACAUCAAUAACUAAAUCAGUAGUAUUCCCAGUCAAACUAACCAAUUACCAAAGCUGAUUUCCAGGUUCGGACAGAAACAGGGCAGCAGGGGUAUUUUGGUCUUUUCACAGGCUACCGAACUUGGAUUGAGCUGAAAUUUUGCAGGCAACUAUAAAAUCAUUCUCUACAACUUUCAUGUUUUGUGCUCAGGCCAAUUCGGCCUCUAACUAUGAUGAACAGUGUCAGGCAGAAUUGGGGAAAUUGAAAACCCUAAUCUGGAAAUUUUUGCAUUCAAGUGCUAAACUUCCACUAAAACAUCUCAUUAGCCAUCACAAGUCAUUAAUUUAACAAAAUCAAGAUCAAAGAAAGGAUGGUUAGACAUGAUACCUUGAAAUAUCAAGAAAGGUGAUGGCUUAGGGAUUUUUCUUCCAAAACAACUCCACCAAUAGCUUCAAUCUUCCUUAGCUAGCAAGUUUAUGGAGUGAUUUGCAAUUUAAUCGGUUAGAACUCAAGAUUGGAAGAAGAAAUUGAGGUGCAAGAUGCUGGAUUUUCUCUCUCUUUCUCUCAAAAUUUCGUCCAUCAUGCUUACAAGAAGAAGAAAUGAUGAAAACAAAAGGUUUGGUCAAGAUAAGAAGAAGAAAUCAUGGUCUUAGUCAAAGGUCCAACUUGCAAUGGGUUUGUGACACUUGUCCCUUCUAGUAUUUUCUUUAAUCCUUUGGCUUCCAAUGGUUACAUCAUAUAACCACCCUCUAAUCAUUUCCGCACCUUGUAAAAUAAUAACACUUAGCACACAAUUCACUUAGUCACCAAAAUUAUGUCACACUAGCGGGUCCCACGUCCAUAUACGCUCUUAAUUUCUCAAAAACUAACCGAUACUAGAAAAAUCAUUUAAAAACUAUAUUUACUCAUAAAAAUUAUCUGGAGAAUUUUCUAAUAAAGAGAAUGUCGAAAAGGCGGGCGAUCAAUAAAAAAACCCUAGAAACUUAAAAAAAAUUUCGGGUCCGCGUACUCAUUCUUUCGGGGCGUCACAAUCUCCCCUCCUUAAAAGAAUGUCGUCCUCGACAUUCCAUCUUGUACUAAUCAAGUCAAAACAUCCCGCAAGAAUCACUGAUAUUCAAACCAAACCCACAGUCCGGCAUCCUAACUUCAAGCCUAGGAUACACUACAGAGAUCUGAAGCCUAAGCUCUGAUACCAACUGUGACGGCCCCACCUCUCCCUAGGGCGUACCCCAGGGUUCGGCGGGCCGCCUGCCCGGCUCUCGCCGGGACUCAGUCGUUCACUAAAGUCCUCAAAUGAAUUACAAUAAACUCAAAUAUCAUCACAUGGUCCACAAAUAUACAUCCAAGUCUCCAAUAAUUACAUAUCACAAAUGCAGCGGCGAAACUAAUCCCAAAUAUACAUAAAAUAAUUCCAAAUCCAAAAUUGUACAAAGUUUAGGCCAUCCAUUCACGUGAAUAAGUACACAAGUCCUUCUUUCGCCACGAACCCUGUGGAGGGGAAUAAAAUAGUUUUUGGGGUGAGCUAAAAGCUCAGCGAGUAACCAGAAAAUCAUUAAUCAAAUCGGUUUCACAAUAGUUCAUUUCAAUGAUGUCAUAUAGCAAUGAUGUCAUAAAUCAAAUGAUAAAUCCGGAAACAACUACAACAUUAGCAAAACAGUAAAUAUGGAUUAUCAAUAAUUCAAGAAACAUUUACAAUGGAAAGCGAUAGUAACAUUCAUGAAAGGAUACAUUCAUUCUCCUGACAUUUCCUCGCUCAUUUGGUCAUUCAUUUCAUUUCAUUCACCCCGUCCCUGGCUUUUGGCAGGCUCCACCAACCUACAUAGGUAAUACUCGAGUAUACCAAACGUUCACCCAAGUUCCUAAUCGCUGACCGAGUCCGCUUCUGGCUCAAGACGACCGGUAACAAGGGGCAAUGGCCAGUUCAGCCCAAAAGGCUUACAUUCAUGCGCAAGUAACAUUUCAAUCGAAAAUUUCACAUUUAUCGAGGUCGAGUGCGAUAAAGUACACACUCGCCUCGAAAACUCGUUUUGGAAAUCAUUAUAAGCGCUUAACACGUUAUCAACCAAAAUACAAGUCAUGAAGUCAAGAAAUAUAGCAAACAAGGCACACUCAAUGCCAGCACGCAUGAUAUGCAAGAAAACAUUUCAAAAGUAACUUUGGAAACAGUUCAAAAGUAAAUAAUGUAAGAAACGGUUCAUAAAUAACUUUAGAAGUAGUUUGAGGUCACUCACCUCCAUGGCUCAGAAAUCAUCCAUCAUAUAACAUUGCCUUGUUCAAAUCCAAGUCUUAGAUCACCAACUCAAUGCGAACAAGUCCCUUCAAAGUUCGGACAGCACUUCCCCUAAAUUUGCUAACUUUUCCAGCCAUCAUGGCUUCAUUAUUUCCUCAGCCAGUCCCAAAGGUACACACACAACAACAAGUUCAUCCAAUAGACAUUCAACAAGCUCCAAGUAGUACUAGUACAAGUCAAGCUAGGAAAAGUCCGGAAAUGAAAGUUAAGCUCAAAACCAGAAAAACAGGUUUUGACGUUAUUUUGCGGUAAUGGUACCAAAGGCACUACGAUUAUCGGAUGAAGGUGCAAGAUACACCGUUUCGAAGCUAAGAGAUAGGGCUUCAAUAUUACAGAAGGUCACUCAACCCAGUUUCGAGUGCAACCAGGUCAAAAAUGCAAGAUACUACAUCAAAAUCACAAAAACAGAUUCACAGAACGCAUUCUAGCGGAAACGUCAUAACUCAGGCUCUCCAAGUCCAAAUCCAGAAAUUCCAAAACCAGCUGAAAGCUAAGGAACAGGGAUAAAUUUCAUCAGAAGGCCUUAAUAUCCAAUUCGGAAGCAAUUCCAGCCAAAACAACCAAUUACAGUCGCACUUCUCAAUUUCGGGUAAAACCAGAACAGCAGUAGUAAUUUCGACUUUCUCAUUCCACACUACUCCGAUUGACCUGAAAUUUUGCAGGCACCUCUAAAAUAUCAUUCCCUACAACUUUCAUGAAGACCACUCAGUCCAGUUCUCACCCUAACUAGGUCAAACUUUCCAAAACAACUCCAGAUUUUCCAGUUCGAAAUUCACUGCGGAAAUCAACUAGCAGUCCUGCUUUAUUCACUCAUAUCUCAGCACACACAACUCCAAUUCAGGUAAUUCCAAAGCCAUUUGAAAGCUAAGAUACAGGGCUAGAAUUCUUAAGAAGACAUCAAUAACUAAAUCAGUAGUAUUCCCAGUCAAACUAACCAAUUACCAAAGCUGAUUUCCAGGUUCGGACAGAAACAGGGCAGCAGGGGUAUUUUGGUCUUUUCACAGGCUACCGAACUUGGAUUGAGCUGAAAUUUUGCAGGCAACUAUAAAACAUCAUUCUCUACAACUUUCAUGUUUUGUGCUCAGGCCAAUUCGGCCUCUAACUAUGAUGAACAGUGUCAGGCAGAAUUGGGGAAAUUGAAAACCCUAAUCUGGAAAUUUUUGCAUUCAAGUGCUAAACUUCCACUAAAACAUCUCAUUAGCCAUCACAAGUCAUUAAUUUAACAAAAUCAAGAUCAAAGAAAGGAUGGUUAGACAUGAUACCUUGAAAUAUCAAGAAAGGUGAUGGCUUAGGGAUUUUUCUUCCAAAACAACUCCACCAAUAGCUUCAAUCUUCCUUAGCUAGCAAGUUUAUGGAGUGAUUUGCAAUUUAAUCGGUUAGAACUCAAGAUUGGAAGAAGAAAUUGAGGUGCAAGAUGCUGGAUUUUCUCUCUCUUUCUCUCAAAAUUUCGUCCAUCAUGCUUACAAGAAGAAGAAAUGAUGAAAACAAAAGGUUUGGUCAAGAUAAGAAGAAGAAAUCAUGGUCUUAGUCAAAGGUCCAACUUGCAAUGGGUUUGUGACACUUGUCCCUUCUAGUAUUUUCUUUAAUCCUUUGGCUUCCAAUGGUUACAUCAUAUAACCACCCUCUAAUCAUUUUCCGCACCUUGUAAAAUAAUAACACUUAGCACACAAUUCACUUAGUCACCAAAAUUAUGUCACACUAGCGGGUCCCACGUCCAUAUACGCUCUUAAUUUCUCAAAAACUAACCGAUACUAGAAAAAUCAUUUAAAAACUAUAUUUACUCAUAAAAAUUAUCUGGAGAAUUUUCUAAUAAAGAGAAUGUCGAAAAGGCGGGCGAUCAAUAAAACAAACCCUAGAAACUUAAAAAAAAUUUCGGGUCCGCGUACUCAUUCUUUCGGGGCGUCACAAUCUCCCCUCCUUAAAAGAAUGUCGUCCUCGACAUUCCAUCUUGUACUAAUCAAGUCAAAACAUCCCGCAAGAAUCACUGAUAUUCAAACCAAACCCACAGUCCGGCAUCCUAACUUCAAGCCUAGGAUACACUACAGAGAUCUGAAGCCUAAGCUCUGAUACCAACUGUGACGCCCCACCUCCCUAGGGCGUACCCCAGGGUUCGGCAGGCCGCCUGCCCAGCUCUCGCCGGGACUCAGUCGUUCACUACAAUCCUCAAAUGAAUUACAAUAUAAAUCUCAAAUAUUACAUCAAAUGUUCCACAAUUACACAUCCAAGUCUCCAAUAAUUACAUGUCAUAAGCGAAGCGAAACAAUCCAACUAUACAUAAAAUGAUUCCAAAUCCAAACUGUACAAGAUAUAUGCCAUCCAGUCACGUGAACAAGUACUACAAGUCCUUCCUUCGCCACGAGCCCUGUGGAGGGGAAUAAAAUAGUUUUUGGGGUGAGCUAAAAGCUCAGCGAGUAACCAGAAAAUCAUUAAUCAAAUCGGUUUCACAAUAGUUCAUUUCAAUGAUGUCAUAUAGCAAUGAUGUCAUAAAUUAAAUGAUAAAUCCGGAAACAACUACAUCAUUUGCAAAACAGUAAAUAUGGAUUAUCAAUAAUUCAAGAAACAUUUACAAUGGAAAGCGAUAGUAACAUUCAUGAAAGGAUACAUUCAUUCUCCUGACAUUUCCUCGCUCAUUUGGUCAUUCAUUUCAUUUCAUUCACCCCGUCCCUGGCUUUUGGCCAGGCUCCACCAACCUACAUAGGUAAUACUCGAGUAUACCAAACGUUCACCCAAGUUCCUAAUCGCCUGACCGAGUCCGCUUCUGGCUCAAGACGACCGGUAACAAGGGGCAAUGGCCAGUUCAGCCCAAAAGGCUUACAUUCAUGCGCAAGUAACAUUUCAAUCGAAAAUUUCACAUUUAUCGAGGUCGAGUGCGAUAAAGUACACACUCGCCUCGAAAACUCGUUUUGGAAAUCAUUAUAAGCGCUUAACACGUUAUCAACCAAAAUACAAGUCAUGAAGUCAAGAAAUAUAGCAAACAAGGCACACUCAAUGCCAGCACACAUGAUAUGCAAGAAAACAUUUCAAAAGUAACUUUGGAAACAGUUCAAAAGUAAAUAAUGUAAGAAACGGUUCAUAAAUAACUUUAGAAGUAGUUUGAGGUCACUCACCUCCAUGGCUCAGAAAUCAUCCAUCAUAUAACAUUGCCUUGCUCAAAUCCAAGUCUUAGAUCACCAACUCAAUGCGAACAAGUCCCUUCAAAGUUCGGACAGCACUUCCCCUAAAUUUGCUAACUUUUCCAGCCAUCAUGGCUUCAUUAUUUCCUCAGCCAGUCCCAAAGGUACACACACAACAACAAGUUCAUCCAAUAGACAUUCAACAAGCUCCAAGUAGUACUAGUACAAGUCAAGCUAGGAAAAGUCCGGAAAUGAAAGUUAAGCUCAAAACCAGAAAAACAGGUUUUGACGUUUUUGCGGUAAUGGUACCAAAGGCACUACGAUUAUCGGAUGAAGGUGCAAGAUACACCGUUUCGAAGCUAAGAGAUAGGGCUUCAAUAUUACAGAAGGUCACUCAACCCAGUUUCGAGUGUAACCAGGUCAAAAAUGCAAGAUACUACAUCAAAAUCACAAAAACAGAUUCACAGAACGCAUUCUAGCGGAAACGUCAUAACUCAGGCUCUCCAAGUCCAAAUCCAGAAAUUCCAAAACCAGCUGAAAGCUAAGGAACAGGGAUAAAUUUCAUCAGAAGGCCUUAACAUCCAAUUCGGAAGCAAUUCCAGCCAAAACAACCAAUUACAGUCGCACUUCUCAAUUUCGGGUAAAACCAGAACAGCAGUAGUAAUUUCGACUUUUCUCAUUCCACACUACUCCGAUUGACCUGAAAUUUUGCAGGCACCUCUAAAAUAUCAUUCCCUACAACUUUCAUGAAGACCACUCAGUCCAGUUCUCACCCUAACUAGGUCAAACUUUCCAAAACAACUCCAGAUUUUCCAGUUCGAAAUUCACUGCGGAAAUCAACUAGCAGUCCUGCUUUAUUCACUCAUAUCUCAGCACACACAACUCCAAUUCAGGUAAUUCCAAAGCCAUUUGAAAGCUAAGAUACAGGGCUAGAAUUCUUAAGAAGACAUCAAUAACUAAAUCAGUAGUAUUCCCAGUCAAACUAACCAAUUACCAAAGCUGAUUUCCAGGUUCGGACAGAAACAGGGCAGCAGGGGUAUUUUGGUCUUUUCACAGGCUACCGAACUUGGAUUGAGCUGAAAUUUUGCAGGCAACUAUAAAACAUCAUUCUCUACAACUUUCAUGUUUUGUGCUCAGGCCAAUUCGGCCUCUAACUAUGAUGAACAGUGUCAGGCAGAAUUGGGGAAAUUGAAAACCCUAAUCUGGAAAUUUUUGCAUUCAAGUGCUAAACUUCCACUAAAACAUCUCAUUAGCCAUCACAAGUCAUUAAUUUAACAAAAUCAAGAUCAAAGAAAGGAUGGUUAGACAUGAUACCUUGAAAUAUCAAGAAAGGUGAUGGCUUAGGGAUUUUUCUUCCAAAACAACUCCACCAAUAGCUUCAAUCUUCCUUAGCUAGCAAGUUUAUGGAGUGAUUUGCAAUUUAAUCGGUUAGAACUCAAGAUUGGAAGAAGAAAUUGAGGUGCAAGAUGCUGGAUUUUCUCUCUCUUUCUCUCAAAAUUUCGUCCAUCAUGCUUACAAGAAGAAGAAAUGAUGAAAACAAAAGGUUUGGUCAAGAUAAGAAGAAGAAAUCAUGGUCUUAGUCAAAGGUCCAACUUGCAAUGGGUUUGUGACACUUGUCCCUUCUAGUAUUUUCUUUAAUCCUUUGGCUUCCAAUGGUUACAUCAUAUAACCACCCUCUAAUCAUUUCCUAGCACCUUGUAAAAUAAUAACACUUAGCACACAAUUCACUUAGUCACCAAAAUUAUGUCACACUAGCGGGUCCCACGUCCAUAUACGCUCUUAAUUUCUCAAAAACUAACCGAUACUAGAAAAAUCAUUUAAAAACUAUAUUUACUCAUAAAAAUUAUCUGGAGAAUUUUCUAAUAAAGAGAAUGUCGAAAAGGCGGGCGAUCAAUAAAACAAACCCUAGAAACUUAAAAAAAAUUUCGGGUCCGCGUACUCAUUCUUUCGGGGCGUCACAAUCUCCCCUCCUUAAAAGAAUGUCGUCCUCGACAUUCCAUCUUGUACUAAUCAAGUCAAAACAUCCCGCAAGAAUCACUGAUAUUCAAACCAAACCCACAGUCCGGCAUCCUAACUUCAAGCCUAGGAUACACUACAGAGAUCUGAAGCCUAAGCUCUGAUACCAACUGUGACGGCCCCACCUCCCCUAGGGCGUACCCCAGGGUUCGGCGGGCCGCCUGCCCGGCUCUCGCCGGGACUCAGUCGUUCACUAAAGUCCUCAAAUGAAUUACAAUAUAAACUCAAAUAUACAUCAAAUGGUCCACAAAUACACAUCCAAGUCUCCAAUAAUUACAUGUCAAAUGCAGCGGAAACUAAUCCCAAAUAUACAUAAAAUAAUUCCAAAUCCAAAAUUGUACAAAGUUUAGGCCAUCCAUCACGUGAAUAAGUACUACAAGUCCUUCCUUCGCCACGAGCCCUGUGGAGGGGAAUAAAAUAGUUUUUGGGGUGAGCUAAAAGCUCAGCGAGUAACCAGAAAAUCAUUAAUCAAAUCGGUUUCACAAUAGUUCAUUUCAAUGAUGUCAUAUAGCAAUGAUGUCAUAAAUAAAUGAUAAAUCCGGAAACAACUACAUCAUUGCAAAACAGUAAAUAUGGAUUAUCAAUAAUUCAAGAAACAUUUACAAUGGAAAGCGAUAGUAACAUUCAUGAAAGGAUACAUUCAUUCUCCUGACAUUUCCUCGCUCAUUUGGUCAUUCAUUUCAUUUCAUUCACCCCGUCCCUGGCUUUUGGCCAGGCUCCACCAACCUACAUAGGUAAUACUCGAGUAUACCAAACGUUCACCCAAGUUCCUAAUCGCUGACCGAGUCCGCUUCUGGCUCAAGACGACCGGUAACAAGGGGCAAUGGCCAGUUCAGCCCAAAAGGCUUACAUUCAUGCGCAAGUAACAUUUCAAUCGAAAAUUUCACAUUUAUCGAGGUCGAGUGCGAUAAAGUACACACUCGCCUCGAAAACUCGUUUUGGAAAUCAUUAUAAGCGCUUAACACGUUAUCAACCAAAAUACAAGUCAUGAAGUCAAGAAAUAUAGCAAACAAGGCACACUCAAAUGCCAGCACAUGAUAUGCAAGAAAACAUUUCAAAAGUAACUUUGGAAACAGUUCAAAAGUAAAUAAUGUAAGAAACGGUUCAUAAAUAACUUUAGAAGUAGUUUGAGGUCACUCACCUCCAUGGCUCAGAAAUCAUCCAUCAUAUAUCAUUGCCUUGCUCAAAUCCAAGUCUUAGAUCACCAACUCAAUGCGAACAAGUCCCUUCAAAGUUCGGACAGCACUUCCCCUAAAUUUGCUAACUUUUCCAGCCAUCAUGGCCUCAUUAUUUCCUCAGCCAGCCUCCAAAGGUACACACACAACAACAAGUUCAUCCAAUAGACAUUCAACCUGCUCCAAGUAGUACUAGUACAAGUCAAGCUAGGGAAAAAUCCGGAAAUGAAAGUUAAGCUCAAAACCAGAAAAACAGGUUUUGACGUCAUUUUGCGGUAAUGGUACCAAAGGCACUACAAUUAUCGGAUAAAGGUGCAAGAUACACCGUUUCGAAGCUAAGAGAUAGGGAUUCAAUAUUACAGAAGGGCACUCAACCCAGUUUCGAGUGCAACCAGGUCAAAAAUGCAAGAUACUACAUCAAAAUCACAAAAACAGAUUCACAGAACGCAUUCUAGCGGAAACGUCAUAACUCAGGCUCUCCAAGUCCAAAUCCAGAAAUUCUAAAACCGUUUGAAAGCUAAGGAACAGGGCUAAAUUUCAUCAGAAGGCCUUAACAUCCAAUUCGGAAGCAAUUCCAGCCAAAACAACCAAUUACAGUCGCACUUCUCAAUUUCGGGUAAAACCAGAACAGCAGUAGUAAUUUCGACUUUUCUCAUUCCACACUACUCCGAUUGACCUGAAAUUUUGCAGGCACCUCUAAAAUAUCAUUCCCUACAACUUUUAUGAAGAUCACUCAGUCCAGUUCUCACCCUAACUAGGUCAAACUUUCCAAAACAACUCCAGAUUUUCCAGUUCGAAAUUCACUGUGGAAAUCAACUAGCAGUCCUGCUUUAUUCACUCAUAUCUCAGCACACACAACUCCAAUUCAGGUAAUUCCAAAGCCAUUUGAAAGCUAAGAUACAGGGCUAGAAUUCUUAAGAAGACAUCAAUAACUAAAUCAGUAGUAUUCCCAGUCAAACUAACCAAUUACCAAAGCUGAUUUCCAGGUUCGGACAGAAACAGGGCAGCAGGGGUAUUGUGGUCUUUUCACAGGAUACCGAACUUGGAUUGAGCUGAAAUUUUGCAGGCAACUAUAAAACAACAUUCUCUACAACUUUCAUGUUUUGUGUUCAGGCCAAUUCGGCCUCUAACUAUGAUGAACAGUGUCAGGCAGAAUUGGGGAAAUUGAAAACCCUAAUCUGGAAAUUUUUGCAUUCAAGUGCUAAACUUCCACUAAAACAUCUCAUUAGCCAUCACAAGUCAUUAAUUUAACAAAAUCAAGAUCAAAGAAAGGAUGGUUAGACAUGAUACCUUGAAAUAUCAAGAAAGGUGAUGGUUUAGGGAUUUUUCUUCCAAAAUCUAGCUUCAAUCUUCCUUAGCUAGCAAGUUUAUGGAGUGAUUUGCAAUUUAAUCGGUUAGAACUCAAGAUUGGAAGAAGAAAUUGAGGUGCAAGAUGCUGGAUUUUCUCUCUCUUUCUCUCAAAAUUUCGUCCAUCAUGCUUACAAGAAGAAGAAAUGAUGAAAACAAAAGAUUUGGUCAAGAUAAGAAGAAGAAAUCAUGGUCUUAGUCAAAGGUCCAACUUGCAAUGGGUUUGUGACACUUGUCCCUUCUAGUAUUUUCUUUAAUCCUUUGGCUUCCAAUGGUUACAUCAUAUAACCACCCUCUAAUCAUUUCCUAGCACCUUGUAAAAUAAUAACACUUAGCACACAAUUCACUUAGUCACCAAAAUUAUGUCACACUAGCGGGUCCACGUCCAUAUACGCUCUUAAUUUCUCAAAAACUAACCGAUACUAGAAAAAUCAUUUAAAAACUAUAUUUACUCAUAAAAUUUAUCUGGAGAAUUUUCUAAUAAAGAGAAUGUCGAAAAGGGGGUGAUCAAUAAAACAAACCCUAGAAACUUAAAAAAAAUUCGGGUCCGCGUACUCAUUCUUUCGGGGCGUCACAUUGUACACAAAGAUUGGUUGUAAUUGAUCAACUUGAAGAAGCUUGCUCUAUAAAGUGAUAUUCAAACUUAAAAGGAGUUUGGAAUUCGGUUUGCUAUUCUAUCUCUUUCAUUUAUUAUCUUGCAAUAUAAAUUAUUCAUCUCUUCUACUCACGAGCACUUAUGCUUUCUCAUUAUUUGCUCCAUUGUGUGGUCAUCUAGAAAAGAGGGUAAAUUUCACAUUUAGCCAAAAAAAGUGUCUCAUAACUUGGUUAGUUUUUAAUUAACCUAAUUCACCCCCCUCUUAGGUUGUCUUCGAUCCUUACAUAAAUCACUAAAAUAACAACCAAACAAACAAGAAAUCCUCAAGGCCACUGCCUAAGAAUCUUUCUCAAGACAUCUACCUAAAGUCAAGGUUCAUGGAACCAUCAACAACCAAGCUUAACAAGUUAAAACUAACUAAAACUAACCAUAAGAUGGAUGAAAAAUGAGAGCUUUGAAAGUUACCUUUCCUCCAAGAGUAGUAGGCAAAACUAUAAGAAAUCAAGCUCUAACCCCAAGAAUCUCUUCUCCUCCAAGUUUCCUACUAAGCUUGAGGAUGAUCCAAGAGAAUGGGCUAGGUUGGAGCAAGUUUUAAAGAGCAAAAUGAAGAAGAAAAUUUGAAACUUUCUUGGCAAAAAUGGAGGAGAAGUGGCCGGCCAAGGGAGGCAGAAAAGAGAGGGUUUGUGUGCUUUUUGUGUGAAGUGAUUUGAUGAAAAGGAAGAUGUGACAUAAAGCUACUUUUGGUGCAAAAGUCAACAAGUGAAUAGUGGCCUAUUUGUGCUCCUAGUUGCGCUUAAUUCAUCUCACUCACUUCUAAUCACUCACUUAACUUUUUUUAGUCUACAAUUGAUCAUUCUUAAUUCUCCAAGACCACUGCAUUCUUAGAUCAAAUAUUGCCUCGAAAAAUGUGUAUUCGCUAAUUUUCACUAAUCAAGCGAUCGAAAAAUUACUUUAAGAGAAAACGUGUUAAGAAUAUAAAAUGAGGCAAUAUACCAUGCGGAUGCAAUUAAAAUGAAUGAAAUAAAUUAAUUGGAGCAAAUAUAUAAAUAAUUAAAUAAAUAAACCAAUAAAAUAAAAUAAUAAAUAAAUAAAAUUCAGGUCCUGACAAUCUGCUAGGGCCGACGAAAGUGAUAGAACUGAGUAGCAAGAAUGUGAUUCAAGGAUCCACGUUGGUGACAAAUUACAUGCUGCAAUGGGUGGUGGUAUUGUUAUGGCUAGUGCUGGCCAUGGGUAUUAGAAUACAUGUGACGGGGUGGAGGAAACAUUGGAAAGGGAGCAAGGAGAAUUUGUUGCAGAGCUAGUGUCUAAAAGAGGGCACGAAUUUGAGGUGGAGCAGGCCCUCGUGACACACUCUUUGGACACUGGCCAGAAGUUUAUUGCCAUGGGGCAGAUUGGCACGUUAAACAGCAACGAGCUGGAGAGUUUGGCUGUCGAACUGAAUGGGAAGGAGGAUGCGGUACACGGAGCUCAUGGGGAAGCUAACAUUGAGUUACCUAAUGUCCUGGGAAAUUUUUCUCCAAGGCUGGUGGUUGAACAAGAGAAGUCGCUGGAGUCGCCGGUGAUGGCUUUGAACAUUGAUCAAUCUGUGGCAAUUGAGUGAGAUCUCUGGCAAGCGAGAGGAAAAGGUGUGUGAGCUUGAUUUCCCUUUGAUAGACAGUUUUGACCUGCGACAUCUUCCCAUAACUUCUUCCAAGUUUUAUCUCAUGAUUAAUGGCAUCUUUUGGAACAUUAGAGGGGUGGCUAAAGGCUCUAAUCUAAGAAGAUUGAUUACAUUAGUAACGUUGUAUCAUGUUAAAUUCGUUGUGAUUUGUGAGCCAAAGCUAGAUGUGUCUAAAAUUGACUCCAUUAGGUUAUGCUUAUCCUUUGAUUUUGUGGUUGUUAAUUGUUCGAGUGAUAUUUGGGUGUUCUACAGUAGUCCUUUCAAGUGUUCGAUUGUUGGUAAUUUGGAUAAGCAUAUAUCUCUAUCUGUUCAAUAUCCGUUGCUUCCUGGUUCAAUCAUUCUGUCCUUUAUUCAUGGAAAAUGUUUAAUGGAGGAGCGAAGAGACUUAUGGCUAAACUUAUUAGCUGAUAAGCCUAGUUCUACUCCCUGGUGCAUUGGGGGGUAACUAUAAUGUCAUACUGACACCUCACGAAAAAAGGGGGUCGUCCAUUUGCUAAUAACUGAGGGGUGGCGUUUAUGUCCUUCAUGGAAGAGGCUGUAGUUUUUUAUGUAGAUUUUUCAGAAGCUAGAUUCACGUGGUGUAAUAGUCGAAGGGCAGUGCUAGGACCUCGAAGAGAUUGGAGAGGCUAUUAGUCAAUGGGAACUGUUUGGAUCUUUUUACAUCCAUUUUUGUCGCUCAUUUGGCCAGGCACCCGUCUGAUGACACGCCACUGAAGAUGUGACGACCCCACUUCUCCAAGGGCGAACCCAAGGGUAUCGGCGGGCCGCCUGCCUAGCUCGCGCCAGGACUCAAAACUUAAAGCAAUAAAACUAGAUAAAUCGAAAGAUCACUAUAUAUAAUAUAUACAAUCCCAAAAGUUAUAUUUACAUCUUCAAAAGUCUCGAGUCAAACCACUCUAAUACACUAUAACCACCACCAGCAGAAGAUAGACCCUAAGAAGGGUUCUUAUACAAACCACCAAAACAAAAACAAACAUUCUAACUGUUCAACUAUUACAAGCCAAUCUAACUAUACUAGUGUACGAGCCAAAAGUCCCCGCGUCGGCCCCUGCUAAGGAAAACAAAAGGAAUGGGGUAAGCUAUAUGCUUAGUAAGUAAACAGGGGCGAAAGCGUAAAUUUCACGUAACAACAGUGACAUAGUAAGAGUAAAGCAAAAGCAGAAAAAUAACAUCACAUAAUAAGGAUACAGGUGGCUCCAAAGCCAAUUCAUAUGCCAUGCGUGAUCUCCUGCCGACACUCCGUCGACCACACUUAAUGGUCCGUAGAACUUCACUUGUACACCCACCGACACCUUAUCACCCUCACUGGCCAGUCACCUCACAAACUUGCCCGGCGAACGAAAUCACAAACUUGAGCUUGAGUCACAAGCUCGGGUCACAAACUUGGUCACCUUCUCGGUGAACCGGAUUCACAAAAUUGGUUCAUAACAUGAACCUACAAACUUGGUGACCUCAGACUAAGUUGGACUGACUUCGACCAAGCCCUAACCGGCUCGAAUAGUCCAAACAGGUCUUAGAUCGGGCCCACGAACUCACAAACUUUGCAAACUUCACAAACUUUACUCGAAAGUCGCCCCGAGCCACAAGCUCAAGGGUUUUGGUUCCAAAAGGUUCAUAUACAUAUGCCAAGUACAAUUAUACAUUCAAAUUAGGGUUUAGGUCGAGUGCGAUAAAGUACACCCUCGCCUAAGUACCCUUUUCACAUAUCUCAAACACAUAGCAAAGAAAACACACCAAACUGGCCUGAAUACUUACUCAGAAACUGAAAUAGCAAAAGUACGAAGUCGGAUCGAAAUGAACAGCUAGUAGUGGGCCCCACCAGUUCCGCCCAACUCACCACCGUCUGAAAUAGAAGAUUGUGUCACAUAAUAUCGCAAACGGCUACUAUCGUGCCUAAAACAAGAAAAACGGCAAAACGACACGCGCGCACGUAAAUAUGACGACGGAAACGGAAACGGCCGUUAGCGGAAACGGCAGAUUUGACACUCAUUUCUAGUUUACUCAUAAGUUGAGCUACGAAUAUCGGAUUAAGGCGUAUGAGAUGCCAUAUCGAAGCUUAAAGGAUGAACAACAACUGUUAUGAAGACAUCCAGAACUGAAACUGGAGGCUUCAGUCCCAAAUGAACCAAACAAAUCACUUACGAAAUCUGGCCAAUGCACAAAUGGUCAGUUUUGAGUGCAAACUGUUUUCUAUGCUACACAUGGUCAAAAGAGCUGAAAAUUGGCAGUUAGAUAGUUCAUUCCAAAUAGAACAACUUUCAUGAAGGUCGGCAAUCCAAAUUCGGAACGGAAAUUGGUCAUCAGGACCAAAACAGAUCUGACCAGAAAAUGGUCAUUUUCACGGCCAGGCCUUGUUUGCUCGGCUAUAUCUCAGGUUUUAUAAAUCCGAUUCAUGAAAUUCCAAGGGCGUUAGAAAGCUCUGAUAUAGGGCUAUAAGUUUGGUGUUUUGGUCGCAAGCCCAAACAGCUUGUAACCCAGUCAAAUGUGAAGCCAAAGUUCCAGUCGUAAACUGUCCGGAUAUAAGAACAGUCCUGACAUGAAUUCUUAUUUCGAUCAUAACUAGAGCUACGGGACUCGGAUUUUGACGUACUUUUAGCGUUUCGAAGCUGUGACCAAGAUCUACAUUUCUUAUGACAGAGUCGACACCCGAUCGUACUCUAUCAAAAUCGAAAAAGUCACGGUCAGAAACUUUCCAAAACGUAACAGAAUUUGACGGUCAAAACAGGUCUGAGUAUUUCGUUAUAGCUCAGGAUAUACUAAUCCGUUUAACCUGAAAAUUUACAGGAAUAUCCAGGACUUAAGGGCUACAAUGUUGAAGAAGGAAACUUUGUCCAAUUUUGAAUGUAACAAGGUCAAAAAUGCAAGACACUAUACCAGAAUCGCAAAACAGGAUCACAAACCGUAUUCGACCUCAAUAUGCGGUAAUGGCACCAAAUUCACUACGGUUAUCGGAUGGGGGUGUAAGACCACCAUUUAGAAGCUAAGAAACAGGGCUACAACAAUGUAGAAGGCCACUCAGUCCAAAUCCUAGCACAACUAGGUCAAAUAUGCAAAAUACGAAACCAGAAUUACCAAAACAGGUUUGCAAAUCACAUAAUGCUGUAAUGAGUCCAACUCAGUCUAUACAAGUCCAAAUGCAUUGAUUCCAAAGGCAUAUGGUAGCUAAGACAUUCCUCUAUAUUUCAUCAGAAGACACCAACAUCCAAAUCCAAAGUAAUUCCAGUCAAAAUAGCCAAAUACAAACGCAGUUCUGCCAUCCUGAUCAACCCAGAACAGCCAGAGUAAUAUCGACAUAUCUCACUCUACACUAAUCAAAUGACCUGAACUUUUACAGGCACCUCAAACACAUCAAUACCUACAACUUUCAUGUUUUAAGCAAAAUCCAAUUCGGCUUCUAACCCUAUGAUCAAAAACCGGACAGAAUAAGGGGUGAUAAAACCCUAACUUUCCACAAUUCAAUCCAAACCCAAAAUUGGUUGCAAUUAUCACUAAUUCACACCUACUAGAGUCAUUCCCCUCAUUAUCAACCAUCAUAGAUGACCACAACAUCACAUUCAUAUUAAACCAGAAAAUUCCUCAAAAAUAUAAAAACUUCACCAAAUCACUUCAAAUCAAGAAAUAAAUCACAAAUAUCAUCACUUUAGCCACUACUAAGCAUAACUUAAGCAUCAUUAGGUGUAGGAGUAUGUUCAAUCAUCACUUACCUAGUAUACAAGAGAAGAGGAGUUGUAGACCACCUUAGCUCUUCCAAAAACUUCACCAAACUCACCACUAACACCAAAUGGAAAGGUUGUAUGGAGUAGAAACUAGUUUAGGCAAUUGGUUUGGAUGAUUUGAGCCAGUUGAAAGCUUGAAGUUUGAAGAAGUUUUCUUCCUUCUUGGCAAGAGAGAGGGCGCGGCUAUGGAGGAGGUAAGAAAUGGUAAUUUUUGUGCAAUUUUUAAGAUAUUUAACCAUUUUGGUCAAAAGUCAAAAACAUGAAUAGUAAAUCAUAAAGUAUAACCAAUAAGAGAGUGACACUUGUCACCUCUUAAAUGCAUUCUUAUCUUUCUUUUUUCCUCUCCCAUCAAUCAAAUCCCACUCUCUACUUAUCUCUUAACAUCCGAUAAAUUUCACACAGUAUCCGAAACUUAACCUUAUUGACCGAAUUUUUCCGAACUUUUCGCACUAGUGGGUCCCACGUCCAAUAUAUAUUCUUAAUUUUUCAAAAACUCUCCAAUACUAGAAAAUCAUCUAAAAACUAUAACUGCUCAUAAAACCCACCAAGAAAAUAUUCCUAAGCCAGAAAACGCAGAAAACAUGCCAUUAAAGGGUUUAACCCUAGGAAAAUUUAUUAGGGUUUUACGGGUUCUCACAGAAGAUCUCGUUUACAUCUCGGUUAGAUAACAAGCCGAGACCAUUCCGGUUCUUGAAUGUUUGGAUGACUAAGCCUCAACUUUUGGAGGUGAUUAGACAUGCCUGAAGUCAAGAAGUGAGUGGCUCUCUAUUGCUUUUUUUGUGUUCUAGAUUAUUGGCAACGAGAAGAGUUAUUCAGACCUGCAACAAGCAAUACUUUGGAAAUGUGUUUGAUGCUGUUCGGGGGGCAGAGGCUGCGGUUCAAUAGGCAGAGGAGGCCGUGGAUCAAGAUGAUUCGGAGGAGGCACAGGUUGAACUCAGGAAGACUCAAGCGAAGUUGUGUCAAGCGUUGUCCAUUGAAGAGCAGUUCUGGAGUCAAAAGACUCAAGUAAAAUGGCUUCAAAGUGGAGAUCGCAAUUCUAGGUUUUUCCAUGUGGUAGUUGUGACGCCCGAAAGAGGAAGAAAAGAAAAAAAAUUUUGGUGAAAAGGGGAAGGACCAAAUCCGGCCGCAAAUUCGGCUAGUUCUUGGCCGGAUUGCUGGAGGAUUUUGAAAAAAAAUUUGAAUCUUCACUGCCUUGAAUCCGGCCAGGAAUCCGGCCAGAUUUCGGCCGGAUUGUGAUGUGGCAUGUGACGGCCCCACUUCCCCCUAAGGCGUACCCCAGGGUUCGGCGGGUCGCCUGCCCAGCUCUCGCCGGGACUCAGUCGUUCACUACAAUCCUCAAAUGAAUUACAAUAUAAAUCUCAAAUAUUACAUCAAAUUCUCCAAUAAUUACAUGUCAUAAGCGAAGCGGAAACGAUUCUCAACUAUACAUAAAAUGAUUCCAAAUCCAAAUUAUACAAGAUAUAUGCCAUCCAGUCACGUGAACAAGUACUACAAGUCCUUCCUUGCCACGAGCCCUGUGGAGGGGAAUAAAAUAGUUUUGGGGUGAGCUAGAAGCUCAGCGAGUAACCAUUAAAAUCAGUAAUUAAAUCGGUUUCACAAUAGUUCAUUUCAAUGAUGUCAUAAAUCAAAUGAACAUUUACAAUACAUUAAAAUGGAGUAUCAAUAAUUCAAGGAACAUUUACAAUGGAAAGCGAUAGUAACAUUCAUUAAAAGGAUACGGGCUCACAUGGAGCUAUUCGUUUGUUCGUUCGUUCUCCUGACAUUUCCCCUUAUUCCUCCAAUCGUUUGAAAAUACAUUUUUUUGUAAGUAGAAUCCCUCGUUCAUCCUUUUGUUCGUUCAUCCCCUUUUCCGGACGUUGACCGGACUCCACCCAUCCGACCAUUGGCCGGACUCCACCCAUCCGGACGUAGCCGGACUACAAGGUAAUACUCGAGUAUUCCAAAUUCACCCAGGGGCACCAUAUCGCCCGACCGAGUCCGUUUCUGGCUCGAGUCGAUCGGUAACAAAGGGCAGUGGCCAAUUCAGCCAAACGGCUUACAUUCAUGCGCAACUUGCAUUUCAAUAAUUAAAUCCUUGAAAAUUGCACAGUUAUUUAGGUCGAGUGCGAUAAAGUACACACUCGCCUAGAAAGCUCGUUUUGGAAAUCAUUCGAAGCACUUAACACGUUAUCAAUCAAUAAUACAAGUCAUGAAGUCAAGAAAAUAUAGCAAAUAAGGAACACUCACAUGCAAGCACGCAUGAUAUGCAAGAAAACAGUUCAAGAGUAACUUUGGAAACAGUUUAAAGGUAAAUAAUGCAAGAAAACGGUACAAAAGUAACUUUGGAAACAGCUCAAAAGUAAAUAAUGCAAGAAACGGUUCAUAAAUAACUUCAGAAAUAGUUUGAGGUCACUCACCUCCAUGGCUCAGAAACCAUCCAUCAUAUAUCAUUGCCUUGCUCAAAUCCAAGUCUUAGAUCACAAACUCAAUGCAAACAAGUCCUUUAAAAGUUCGGACAGCACUUCCCCCAAAUUUGCUUACUUUUCCAACCAUCAUGGCUUCAUUAUUUCCUCAGCCAGUCCCAAAGGUACACACACAACAACAAGUUUAUCCAAUAGCCAUUCAGCAAGCUCCAAGUAGUACAAAGACAAGUCAAGCUAGGAAAAAGUCCGAAAAUGAAAGUUAAGCUGAAAACCAGAAAAAUGGGUUUUGACGUCAUUUUGCGGUAAUGGUACCAAAGGCACUACGAUUAUCGGAUGAAGGUACAAGACCCACUGUUUCGAAGCUAAUAGAUAGGGGUACAAUAUUACAGAAGGUCACUCAACCCAGUUUCGAGUGUAACUAGGUCAAAAACACAAGAAACUACACCAGAAUCACAAAAACAGCUUCACAGAAUGCAUUCUAACGGAAACAUCAUAACUCAGGCUCUCCAAGUCCAAAUCCAGAAAUUCCAAAACCAGCUGAUAGCUAAGAAACAGCGCUAAAUUUUAUCAGAAGGCCUCAACAACUAAUUCGGAAGCAAUCCUGACCAAAACAACCAAUUACAGGCGCAAUUCUUACAUUCGGGUAAAACCAGAACAGCAAUAGUAAUUUCGACUUUUCUCAUUCUACACUACUCUGAUUGACCUGAAAUUUUGUAGGCACCUCUAAAAUGUCAUUCCCUACAACUUUUAUGUUUUAAGUCAAGGCCAAUUCAGCCUCUAACUAGGAGCUAAAAAUUCGGGCAGAAUGUUCCUUCACAAAACCUAAUUUUCUGAAAUUUCUUCCAAAACAGAAAUUGAUUGCAAUUGUCCACUUUUUCCACCUUCUAGAAUCAUUAUAUACCAUUUCCAAUCAUCAUAGUUAGCCACACAACCAUGCUUAUUUUAAAACAGAAAAAUCCCCAAAAAUAAUAAAACUUCAUCACUUCAACCACAAAUCAAGAAAUAAUCCAUAAACUUGCAUCUCACACCACCACUAAUCAUGAUUUAAGCAUCAACUAAGGAAGGAGAGUGGUUCUUCACAACUCACCUUAGCAACUCAAGAAAGGAAGCAACUUAGCACCUUGGUCUUCCAAACCACUUCACAACCAACCUUAAUACCACUAAACUAAGAGGUUUUAUGGAGGAAAUCCAAGUUUAAUUGGUUAAAUUGUUUGAUUGGAGCAAGAAAUGAAGAAGUAAGAUGAAAGCUUUCCUUUCUUUUCUCCUUGUGAAGCUCAGCCAAGAUGAUGAAGAAUAAAGGUAAUUUUGGAUCAAUUUGGUACUUAUUUGGUAAAGGUAGUAAGAUGGUCAAAUGUCAAAGUCCAACCUUCAAUAACAAGGUGACACUUGUCACCCUUUAAGCUUGAGAUUAUCUUCUUGUCUCUCCAAGACAAAUAUCUUAACACCUUGUAAAAUAAUAUCAUUCAAUACAAAAUUCCUACAAGUUGUCAAAAAUAUAAUGCAUUUACCGCACUUGAGGGUCCCACGUUCAAAAUACGCUAUUAAUUUCUCAAAACUAACCGAUACUAGAAAAAUCAUUUUAAAACUAUUUUUGCUCAAAACUUUAUCUGGGGAAUUUUUCUAAUCAAGAAAAUGUAGAAAAGGCGGGCGAUUAAAAAAAAUAAACCCUAGAAAAUUAGAAAAUUUCCGGGUUCUCAAACUCAUUUUUUUCGGGGCGUCACAUGGCAAGUCUGCAGCCAACUUUGAACAGCUGAUUUUCUUCCUUCUUAUCUUGUUUUGGCUGGGAUUUUUCCUCAUUUCUUUCCUUGGCUUGGUCGGCUGUUUGAGAGAGGAAAAAGAAGAGAGAUUUCUUGAUUUCUCCUAGUUUCAAUCUUUGCUCAAAUCUUGAGAUUUCACCGAUGGUUUUGGAAACUGCUCCGUACAAGUGUACACUUAGGAGGGUUAAAGCUUUUGGUGGAAUGAUUUUUGAAAGAGAAGCUCUAAGUUGCUAGCUUUCUUGAGUUUUGAGGUAAGUUGGAUAAGAAAGUUCCCUCUUGCUUUAAUAAUGGUUAAUUGGUGGUUUGUAGAGGUUAGAUAUGCUAUUUUGUGGAUGAUUUCAUAAUUUUAAGUAAAGUUGGACCAAUUUCUGAUUUAUUGGGAAAUUUUAUGAUUUUAUAUGAUUAUGGUUCGUUGGUCAUGAAAUGAUAGCUUGUUGUGGUGUAAAAUGGAGCUUGUAUACGUUGGAUAUGAUUGUUUGCGAAAAAUUUCUGGUUUGUACGGAAAUUCCAGUUUUAGGGUUUAAUUGGGGCUUUCUUAUGAUUGGUUAUUGAGCUCUUAAUUGGUUAAAAUUGAAGGGGGUAUUGUGACCCUUAUUAAGAGUGUUUAAUAGCCUAUGAUGUAUAUGUGUAAUUGUGGUUGAUGGUUAUGGAUUUGGUGAUUGUUUGUAGGUUGGAAAAAUAAAGAAAUUAAGGGGAAAUGUUGUCAGAUCUUUGAGAGCGUUUGGUUGCUUUGAGUUUGAGUUGAAGGACUUGGACUUGAUCAAGGAACUGUCUAUGAUGGAUCAUGAGCUGUGGUUGGUGAGUGACUCCAAACUAUUUCCAAAGCUACUUAUGAACCGUUUCUUGCAUUAUUUACUCGAUUGCAUAUGAUGUGUGCUUGCAUGCGAGUUCAUGACAUGAUUUGGCUACAACGAGUUUUGGGAAGUCUUGUGCUUAGAACCAACAUCUCUAUCACUGUUUACUGUUUAUCUGGAGCACCAACGGGCUCCCUAUCACUGUUUCCCUGUUAACUGAUCAUUUUGAGCGUUGGAUGCUAAGUACAAUGAUUUCACUGGCUCACGAGAGCAAUAAAUGUACAUUUGAUUACUGAUUCAUGACAUCAUUGAAAUGAACUAUUGUGAAACUGAUUUGAUUACUGAUUUGACUGGUUACUCGCUGAGCUUCUAGCUCACCCCAAAAUAUUUUAUUUCCCCUCCACAGGGCUCGAGGCAAAGGAAGCUUGUAUUAAUUUCUCCGUGUGAAUGGUUGGAUCAUCUCUUAUACAGUUGGAGAUUUAGCUUUAUCUUGUGUAAUAUUUGAGACUGCGAUUGUACUUGUAAUAUGUGAGAACCCGUAACUUUUCCAUUUUCUAGGUUUAUUAUCUUUAAUGGCAUGUUUUCUGCAUUUUCUUGAUUAGGAAAAUUUCUAGAUAAUUUUUGUGAGUAAAUAGGAUUUUUAGAUGAUUUUUCUAGGGUCAAAUAGUUUUUGAGAAAUUAAGAGUGUAUACCAGACGUGGGACCCGCAAGUGCGGAAAGUUCAGAAAAAUUCGGCCAACUAGGUUAAGUUUUGGAUACUGGAAUUAAUUUACCGGGUGUUAAGAGAUAAUUAGAGGGUGCUAUUUGGAUUGGUGUGAGAGGAAACAAAAAGAUAGGGAUGCAUUAAAUAAAGUGACAAGUGUCACUUAGUGAUUGGAUGGACUUGAAGACCACUAUUCACCUUUUUCCAUUUGACCAAAUAAAUCACAAAAAUUACCAAAAUUUCACCAUUUUCUUCUUCUCUAGUGGCCGUCCUCUCUCUCAAGAAAGAAAGAAAGAAAGCUCUCCAAGUUUGCUUCAAUCUUGCUCCAAUCUACCAAAUCAACCAUUUACUCUUGUUCUUGUUCCAUAGAAACCCUUAAGGGAGUGUUUGUGAGUUGUUUUGUGGAGUUAUUUGGAAAGCUAAGAGGACUAAUUGCUCUCUCUCUAGUAUUGCUAAGGUAAGUUGAGAAGGACCCCUCUCCUCCCUCUAAUGAUGCUUAAUUCAUGAUUAGUGGAGGUAUAAGAUGCAAUUUUAUGGAUUAUAUCUUGAUUUUUGGUUGGAUUGGUGAAGUUUUAUAAUUAUUGGGGAUUUUCUGUUUUCAUAUGAAUAUGAUUAUGUGGUCAUGUAUGAUGGUUGGAAAUGAUAUUUAAUGAAUCUAGAAGGUGGAAAAAGUGGUUAAUUGCAAGAAAUUUCUGUUUUGGAAGGAAAAUUGGAAAACUAGGGUUCAUGUUCCUACAUUCUGCCCGGUUUUGUAGCUCAUAGUUAGAGGCCGAAUUGGCCUUGGGUUAAAACAUAAAAUUUGUAGGGAAUGAUAUUUUAGAGGUUCCUACAAAAUUUCAGGUCAAUUGGAGCAGCGUAGCUGGUGAAAAGACCGAAUUACCCUGCUGCCCUAGUUUUACCCGAAUUUGAUAGUUGCGUCUGUAAUUGGUUAAUUUGGUUCGGAAUGCUUCCGAAUUGGUUGUUGAGGUCUUCUAAUGAAAUGUAGCCUUGUAUCUUAGCUUUCGGAUGGCUUUGGAAUUUCUAGAUUUGGACUUAGAUAGGCUGACUUAUGAUGUUUGAACCAGAAUGCGUUCUGUGAAUCUGUUUUUGCGGUAUCGGUGUAGCCUAUUGCAUUUUUGACCUAGUUACACUCGAAACUGGGCUUAGUGACCUACUGAAAUAUUGUAACCCUAUCUCUUAGCUUCAAAAAAGUGUAUCUUGCACCUCCAUCCGAUAAUCGUAGUGCCUUUGGUGCCAAAACCGCAAAAUGAUGUCAAAAACUGUUUUUUUUGGGUUAACACUUAACUCCAUUUCCGGAUUUUCUGGUUUCCUCUAAUGCUUAUGUAUGCUUAUGGAGCCCUAUUUUGGUGGUAUUUGAAAUUGGUUUAUGAAUUGUAAUUCUUAUUGUGCUUAUUUGAAUAUUUUAGGGCUUGACUUUCAUUUCCGAACUUCUCCCUAGCUUGAAUUGUACUUGUACUACUUGGAGCUUACUAAAUGGCUAUUGAAUGAACUUAUGUUGUGUGUGAUUUUGGGACUGGUUGUGGAAAAUAAUGAACCCAUGACGGCUGGAAAAGUAAGCAAAUUUAGGGGAAAUGCUGUCCAAUUUUCUAGGCCGUUUAUUUCCUUUAAGUUUGACUUGCCUUUUGGUAGAAAUGAAAGGCUUUUGGGUUGUUUGAGCCUAGGUCUUCAUGUUACCUUUUCGUUUCCAAAAAUCAUGUUUUGCAUCCUUGCAUUAGUAAUUAUUUGGCGAGGCCUACGACUGGUUGUCGAGCCUCACAUGUGUAUUCUGUAUACUCGAUUUUGAAAGUGGAACCUUCAAUUGUUUUACUUUGAUUAUUUUAGGGUUUCUUGGUGAUUAAAGCUCUCUUUUGGGCAAAAAACUUUUGAGGUAUCUGUACUGACACUGAAGAUAGCCGUAGAGGUGUGGAAAUUCUUUGGUUCUACUGCAGUACAGGGUUACAUGGCCAGUUGGUGGUUUAGCUCGUGUAUGAAUGCAUUUCUGUAAUUUGUCCACUUGAUUAUCUCUUCUUUGAUUUGCUGGAAUAUUUGGAAGGUUAGGAACAAAGCGCGGUUUGAAGGAAAAGUUUAUGGUCCUGAGGCUAUUUGUGGAUUUAUUUUUGACGAUGUGCGAAUUCUCUUCAAUCUGAAGUUUCCGAGGUAUUCCUUUAUCCUUACGACAUGGCCAAAAUUUUAUGCUUCUCUCAACUCUGUUCGUAAGCAAGUUUCGUUUAGAUUGGUGAAGUGAUUGAGACAGACUAUGGGAGGGUUUAAACUCAACACGAAUGGCUGCUCAAUAGGCAACCCUGGGAGGGCAUGGGGUGGUGGAGUCUUGUGCGAUGGUGAAGGAAAGCUCCUACUCACUUUCUCAACAUCUUUUGGGAGUAGUACUAGCAUCCAAGCUGAGGCGAGGGCCCUUCUUUUUAGAGUUAAUUUUUAUAUUUCACGUGAAUAUGUGAGAGUGCAAGUUGAAGUGGACACUUUGGUACUAGUUCAAAUAUUGAAGCAAGCAAUUCGAUGCCCAUGAAGUAUUGAUACAGAAGUUCAAAUCCUCCUUCAACUUUCGUCCCAUUUCGUCAGCAUUUCCCGUUGCUUCCGCGAAGGUAAUCAAGUGUCGUCCCAUUUCGUCAUCAUUUCCCGUUGCUUCCGCGAAGGUAAUCAAGUGGCUGAUUGCUUCAAAUGUUGGCUGAGACGAAAGUUGUGACAGAACCUAUCAUCAAUUUGCGGAUCUCCCU
rnacentral:lncRNA from 1 species